rnacentral:rRNA from 1 species
GACGAACGCUGGCGGCGUGCUUAACACAUGCAAGUCGAACGGAAAGGCCCUGCUUUUGUGGGGUGCUCGAGUGGCGAACGGGUGAGUAACACGUGAGUAACCUGCCCUUGACUUUGGGAUAACUUCAGGAAACUGGGGCUAAUACCGGAUAGGAGCUCCUGCUGCAUGGUGGGGGUUGGAAAGUUUCGGCGGUUGGGGAUGGACUCGCGGCUUAGCAGCUUGUUGGUGGGGUAGUGGCUUACCAAGGCUUUGACGGGUAGCCGGCCUGGGAGGGUGACCGGCCACAGUGGGACUGGGGUGCGGCCCAGACUCCAUCGGGAGGAAGGAGUGGGGAAUAUUGGACAAAGGGCGGAAGGCGGAAGGAGGAACGCCGGGUGCGGGAAGACGGCCUUCGGGUUGUAAACCGCUUUCGCCUGUGACGAAGCGUGAGUGAGGGUAAUGGGUAAAGAAGCACCGGCUAACUACGU